rnacentral:rRNA from 1 species
CCAAUAGCGUAUAUUAAAGUUGUUGCAGUUAAAAAGCUCGUAGUUGAAUUUCGAGAUCAAUUUGUGGGUCGUGCCUCGGUACGUACUGGCAUUAUUGAUUUCUCCCUUCUGAAGAACCGCGAUGUCAUUAAUUUGGUGUCGUGGGGAAUCAGGACUGUUACUUUGAAAAAAUUAGAGUGUUUAAAGCAAGCUUACGCCUGAAUACAUUAGCAUGGAAUAAUGAAAUAGGACGUUUGAUUCUAUUUUGUUGGUUUCUAGGAUCGACGUAAUGAUUAAUAGGGAUAGUUGGGGGCAUUAGUAUUCAAUUGUCAGAGGUGAAAUUCUUGGAUUUAUUGAAGACUAACUACUGCGAAAGCAUUUGCCAAGGAUGUUUUCAUUAAUCAAGAACGAAAGUUAGGGGAUCGAAGACGAUCAGAUACCGUCGUAGUCUUAACCAUAAACUAUGCCGACUAGGGAUCGGAUGAUGUUAAUUUUUUAAUGACUCAUUCGGCGCCUUACG